UCUACCUGCAAGCCAUGAUCCCCGAGCCUUGCACUGAGCCCAAGUCAAUGCCACCUCCUGGAUGCUCCUCGCAACUACACCAAAAUGCAAGGGCAGCAGGACAUUGCAUGGACAUUGCCUGGAGAGUUGAGAACAGAUGCGGUUUCAGCCACUUGUGGAAGUUGAGCUAAUUUUAAGAGUAACUUCUUGGUACCACCAGGGGUGCAGCAGAUUACAACGACACUGGGAGAAACCAUGCCAUGAGCUCUGAGUUCAAACAAGCUGUUUCCAGUUACCAGUAAUGUAACAGAAAAGGGCACAGUAACAAAGAGUUGGGACAAGUUUAAUAUACAAUUUCAGUUCUGGUCCAAUUCUUUUCUUCCUGUGUUAUUAUAUACUCUGCACAUGAAAUAUACACAUCUUAGUGAUGUCUUAUUUACCACCCCUCCAUCCCCCCCGAACUCUCAGACAUUUCCCUCCUCCCUCUAGCCUCCACCCUUUAUUGGAAAUAAUAAUAAUAAAAAAUCAAUUUAAUUUGCCUAUGCCCUUCUGUAGGGGGAAAACAUUCACACGUGAACACCCCUCUUCCCUGACCUUCCCCCACUCCUUCAU